rnacentral:lncRNA from 1 species
UUGUGGGCUUCUAUCCGGUCCAGAACACUGAUAUUUAUUUUUUAUUUUAAUUUUGAUACAUUGUUAAUAAAUCACCAUCAAUAUUUAUAUAUAAUUUUUGAAGUAGCAAUGAUUAAAUUAAUUUUAAUUGUUACCGAUAUUAGUGUUCUAAAAAAAUACAUUAAUUUGGUCAAAAAAAUACAUUAAUUAUGGUCAAAGAUGCUUUUCAUAUACAUAUGGUACAAAAAAUACAUAUUAUUUUUUAUAUAUGUAAGAGGUGAAGAAGUCUUCAGUAAUUUUAGUUCAGUCGAUCUGUGUUUGAGUGAGAGAGAUACCAAUACAUUCGUCUGGGUCUUAUAAGAUAGAAUAAGAGGUAUGGUCAUAAUUUCUUCGUUCAAUCACAUGUUUUAUUUUUUUUAGAUGUCAUUUCCUACGUGUUUUUCUUAUACUUUGUGCUCUUAAAUAUCCAAAAAUUAAGAGAUAUCUCGAGGGAACAAAUUGCACUAUUAUGCUGAAUCUAACUAAUAAAUAUAUAUAAUUUGUUAGUCUAUAAGUCUUUAAGCAUAAAAAUAUGAACUUUGUUUACUAGGAGAUCUCUGAUUAUUCAUUGGACUAAUUUUUAAAUUAUCCGAAUAUAUGGUAUACUAAUUGGAGUUUUGUUAGGGUUGGUGUCCAACAUCCAAUUAUUUCACACCAUGUAAUGUUUGUUGGGAUAGUACUAGAUAGAGUUUUAUCGAGUCUUCUUGUACUUUUUACAAAUGGAUAAUGAAAACUUCCUAUCUAUUGAGUUUUUUUUUUUUAGAGAUCUAUUGAGUUUUUUUAUAUUUUAAUUUAUGAUUUGUAAGGUUAGGUUUUGAGAUGGAUUUUUUUAUAUAUAUUUUAUGUUUCCUUAGAUCAAAUAUUUGUAUUAGAGGUAUUAUUGUCCGACCUCAUUAGAAGGUUGUCUAAUUUUGCACUUCCAAAAUGUUUUUUUUUUUUUUUUGAGUGAAAAUAGUUUAUAGCUUUUCAUUAUUAAUCAAAGUCAAAAUACAUAGAGGUACAUCAUUAAAGACAUGGGGACCAGCUGAGAAUAUGGCCUCUCUAGCAAGAGUAUGAGCGACCUCAUUCGCUUGUUUCCGACUGAACUCCACCUUAGAGUUUUCGAAAAAAACAUUACGGCAUCUUUUGCAUUCCUCCAAAAUUGAACCAAACUCGGACACAUCAUUACUACUUUUGUUAAAAAAGUCUACAACUUUCUUUGCAUCCAUCUCAAAAUCUACAUUUGUAAGUUGUAGUUCUUGUACCCAUUGAAUAGCAUAAAAUAAUCCCAACGCUUCCCCAACCUCCGGCGUGCACAUAGGAUUAGACCACAUCAUCUUGGCCCUUAAGAAGUUACCAGCAGCAUCCCCUAAACACAUACCAAAUCCUACACGGUUCAAUGCUUCUGAAAAUGCCGCGUCUAUAUUACAUUUCAUUCUGCCUCGCUGUGGUUUAACCCAUCUGAUCUGUGCUGGCAACAAGUGUUGUGCUCCUGCAGAAUCAACACUGACAGCAGCUCCCGAGUCUGCUACAGCACCAGCAGCACUAGAAAUCAGCUACAGUCUAUUUGCUUCUCGCAAUAUCCAUACAACACCUGCCUUGCUCUAGCUGAAAUCACUUGGCACGUCUCUGAAAUAUUCUCCCAUACUCUUAUGUUCCGACUCUUCCAAAGUGUUAUCAACGUAGUUGAACAGUAUGUGCGCGCACGCGUUUAUAUGCACUAAGUUAAAAUAUAGUUGAUCUAUUGUUGAAUUUAAUCUUUUAGUGAGGUCAUUCAUGAUACAUUUUCAAUUAGAUUUUUUAAUUUAAUAAAAUCAUUAUCUGAAACAUUUAAUGUUUUCUUAAUAACUCAUGCAGGAAACAUCGAAAUAUGAAGAACAAUAAUUCGGCUAACAUGUAUUCGAAUGAUGACCUGUUUAAUGAGAUUUUGGUAAGAAUAUUUACAAUGCUUAGUGUUGUAGACCUUGCAGUAGCUUCCAUGGUUUGUAAAUCUUGGAACGUAGCGAGCCGUGGCCCUACUCUUUGGAAAAAACUUGACAUAAAUAAAUUGAACUCAAGAGGCUUGAAUGUACCAUUGAGACCAUAUGCUUGGAGGGAUGAACACUCAAGCCAAAAAAUGACGCAAUUCUUGAAGUAUGCUUCAAGUUUGAGUGGCGGAAAUAUAAGUUGCGUAAUAUUCAAUUGUUAUGUCUACUUGAGUGAUGUACAUUUAACCUCGAUUGCUGAAAGGUAACAUUAUUAACUUAUUCUUGUGUUUUUUUUCAUGGUUGUAGUUGAAUCAUUUGUUGUGCUUGAAAAACCUAUAACUUUAUUGUUGUAAGGGUUGAAAUAACUCUUACUUUUUUUAGUAUACACUACUAAAAAAACAAAAAUUAGUGAGGGAUAUUUAGUGAGGGAAAACAUGAAAUCCCUCUCUAAUUCCGUCACUAAAUUUUACGACCAAGGAAUUUGUGAGGAAUUUCAUUUUUUCCGUCACUAAUUUUCCUCGCUAAUUUUGCUUUUUCUAGUAGUGAUAUGUUAAUUAAUUCCAAAAGACAAAAUAUUUAGCCUUCUAUACAAUAAUAGCUAUAAAUGUGCUAAUGAAUAUAGGAUUGAAAUUAAUUGUAUGUUUUCUUGAACUUACCCACACUUUGAUAGAUUUGCUUCCUUUGCAUGUAUGUUUUAUGCUUUAAUAGUCUGUUUUUUUUUUUUUUCUAGUCUGAAUUAGAAGCCUCAUAUUAGAUUGAAAAGUGAACGUAUAUCCAUUGGAUUCAUAAUUAUUACUCUACGUAGAGUAAUAAUUAAGUGAGAGGAUUCAUAUAUCCAUUGGCCUUUAAGAUUUUAGGUGAAGAUUUGGUGUUCAAUCCAUUUGUGUAAUUGUCCAAAAUCUAAAACGAUGAUACCCUGAGUUUCCAUUAUUUCCAUCUCGAUUUGUGCGUGUGUAUAUAUAUUCUUUGAUUUACCAAAGUAUAUAAUUUUUAAUGUUUCAAAGUAAAUCUGUAAAAUAUACUUUUUGUCAAAAUUACAAUAAUACAUUGUGAUUUUGACAAACUCACACUCAAUCUAAACUUAUUCUAGACCUUCUAAACCACCUCUACAUGUGCAAACUACUCAUUUUAUAUGUUAAAAGUAUAUAUCUUCUUUAAUGUGCAGGACUCCAAAUCUCAAAAGGUUAGUGUUUCCCAUAUCUGGCAACAUAUCAAAAAUUGGAAUAGAAACUGCAAUGAGAUCUUGGAGAGACCUUCAGUCCAUUACAAUUACCUCAGUUGUGCAUCAUUUUAACAUUUUUGAAGCAAUCAGAAAAUACUGCAAGAACAUUGUUAGCUUAAAGAUCACAGGUGGUUUUGAACAAUAUGAAGCUAGGGCAUUGGUUAAAUGCACUCCAAAUCUAAAGGUUUUGAGUAUUCGAAAGAUGAAAGUUAACAUGGGAGGUUUAUGUCACGUGCUUAAUAACUUGGAACAUUUGGAGGUGGUAAACUUAAGCCAUAGUCUUAUUGUGGAUAAAGUGGACGGUGCGUUUCAUUUAUACUCGAUUGAUGAUGUGCUAAGUCGUGUCAAUAUCUCAUGCAAGCUUAUCACUUGUCAAAUAACAACAAGCCAUAGGUGCAAGAAUCCAUUUGCGAGAAAUCCAAGAAGAAUGCCACAUGGAUCCUUGGAAAAUAUUUGGCGUGAAGAUGAGAUAAGCUCUCUUUCACAUUAGUUAGUCAUAGUAAAAUGUGUUAAAGAUUGCAUGGAUCUUAUUAUAAACAUUUUCUCAUUUUGAAUUAGAAUCAUGUUUGGAGACAUUCUAUUGCUUGCAUUUGUCUACUUUUCUGGUUAUUAUGGUUAUUGAAAAAUAAAAUAGUCUUUUAAUGCAUUGAAGUAUAUUAUAAUCAUGUUGAGCUCCAUCUUGAAAUAUUAUCUUGGUGAUGGAUUAAUGGAGAUAGUGGAAAUUUUGGUCUUAAAUUUUGAAAUUAGAGUGGUAAUCAGAUAAUUAGUUUCUAAACAAUUUAAAUAAUCAGAGAAUUAUAUGAGGGAGUUGGACAACUUCAUUCUCCAUUGUAAUUUCUUUUUUCACUUCCAUCUGUUUGUGACCUAUUAUGUUGAUAUGUUAUGUUGUUGGAGAAUAAGUCCCAGUUAUAGUACAUAGUCCUAGAGCCUGCACUGGAGGGGUGGAACUGUGCCAUUACUGCUCACUUUGAUUGUGUUCGUUUUAUUCUAGUCUAGACUCCAAUUUGUGUCGGUUUUUCUGCUAUCGAUGUUGGUGAUGAUUUGCAACGAGUAUUGUGUAAGUGGUUAGUUUUGAUAGUGGUGGUUGGAUGUAGAAUUUCGGUGUCUCAUGAUCUCUCAAUUUGGUAGCAGCUAGAAAAGAAGACAUGACAAAAAGUAACCGUGAAACAGAAACAAAUCGAGGAGAAAAUAAUUGUUAGCAUUGAUUGAUCCAAAUUGAUAUAUACAUGUGUACAUAUACAUACAAUCUUCAAUAUGCAAUGCUUUGUGAAAAUGUCAACUACUUGGUACCAGUUCUCCAAUGUCAAAAGUCUUGGAAUAUUACAAACAAGAAUGAAGGAUAAGAAGCUAGAAGCAUAGCAGAUUGAUUAUGACAUGAAACCAUAGAGGAGAAAGAAGAAAAAUCAAAGUGAACAACUAUGGAUCCUUGUUGCAUAACAUUUUGUGUGGAGAUUUGUAUUGUAGAAUAAUAAGGGAUGGUACUCUUAUUAAAGAGAAAGGCCGCAACCGGUACACAUUCUUCUCCAAAAUGACAUAAAUUUUGACUGGAAGAUUAAAGUCCUAGUUCUAGCAACAUUUAGCAAGUGUUGGUGUAUUCUUUCCGUAACAUAGUCUUUGUCCCGACAUUUCAACGCAUGAGAACUUGUGAAUGUGUCUUUGUCUUGUCACUAUCAUCAUAUCUAAAUUGUUAGAUGGUAAAUCCAACAGCAGUUUGACUAAGUUUGAGUUUGUGUAUUCUCUAGUUUCAAAAGAUAGGGUGGAUAGUGGGGACAUUAAUAUCCACCCUGAACUCGUUUCCAAUCAUGUCAUGGAGAAAUGGAGUAGGGCAGGGAUACUGGACCUCAUCAGGUAUAAGGUUGCGUGCAGGAAAUAUUUGUAGGGACGGAAACAUAUCAUUUUUUUACUUUACACGACAUAAAAUGAAAUUUGGUAAUAUUUUAGGGACAAAACUUGUAUUAUCUUUUUUUUUUUUUUUUUUUACAUCAAAGAUAAUUUCAUAGAUGAAAAUUUUUACAAUAUAUUAAAGGUCAAUAUUUUUUAACUAUAUUUGCUCCAAAAAAAAAUAUUUUUUUAACUAUAAGGUGGAGUCUCUUCAAUCAACAUACAAUUUGAAUUACAAAUAAUGUAUUGAAUUAUAAUCGACAACUUGCUUGCCCUCAAGUCUAACAUGUAAAAAAUUUGAACUAUGAAAGUAAGCAUUAAAUUAACACAAUCUCAAAUAAUCGAUCAGACAAAGUGGAAGAUUGCUCCCUCAAUAAAAAAAUUGAAAGAUUGUUGAUGACCAUUAAUUUCUAAUACCUCUAAAUUUAAUACUCCUUCCGAUCAUAAUUAAAAAAUACAUUUAGAUCAAUAAAAGUUGGUGUAUCUAGUCCAAUUUUUUUAAUCUGUCAUAUCAACUUUUGUUGACCCAAAUUUUUCUUUUAAAUAGCCGGAGGGAGUAAACAUAAAUUACUCUUCCUCGUAGCUAUGAAACGACCAUUGUUAGUAAGUGAAUUUGUUAGUUUUUUACCCUUUCACUCAUUAAUUCUUUAACUCCAACCGCCAAGUCAACCCUAUAACACAGAUGCUUGGGGGCUGUCAACCGUCAAUCUAUCCCCAAGGGCACAGAUGCCCUCCAGAAAGGUGUAGGCGUCCUUCUGAAGGGCUCCUGAAGGCUAGGCACGUCCCUCCCUGGGCGCCGCCUCUAGAAGCUUUUAAACCCUGUGAAAAGACUUAAGGCCCAACUUUCUUGGGAGUUAAGUCAUGCGAAAACAAGCCCACUAAGGGUUAUAAAUAUCCAUCUUGAGAUCAUUCUCAAGGGGUCACUUAAACAGACUAAACCGUUUCUAAUAUUGUACACACUGCAAGUACACAAAUUUAAUAUAAAAAAUACCUAUUUUAAAUUAAAAAUUUAAAAAAGUAGUCUACAUUUUCAUUAAACAAAACAUUCUUAUACACUUUUUUGUAUCCAAGUUUGGCACAUGACAGGUAUUUGGGGGGCUAUUCAACAUGCUAUUACUUGUACUCCUUCGGCAGUUGAAGCAAUUUUUCUGUUAUUGGAUAUAUGUUGUCCACCGAGCACAACCAACGGUUAGCAACAACUUUAUGGAGCCUUUGGAAACAUAGGAAUUUAAAAGUUUGGGAUGAUGUUAUGGAGGUGUGCGCCAUAGUUGUUGAGCGUGCAAAGACUAUGGUUGAAGUUUGGCAACUCAAAAAUGUUUCUAGGACAGUUGUCCAAGAGAAUCAACAACACGUGCAGCAGCCCCAUGGUGUUGUGCAAUCUGUCGAGGAAAAUGCUACAGUUGGAAGCACGAUACAUGUUGUUCCUGUUUGUUGGCAGUGUCCGUUGCUGGGCAGGUAUAAGUGCAACAUUGAUGAUGCGUUCUCUUAUAGUCAUAACCGAACUGGAAUUGACAUCUAUGAGGGCAUCUUUGUGUUGGCCAAAGCUGUAAGUUUUCCUUGUGUUUCCCCGGUUGAUGUAGGUGAAGCCUUUGAGGUACAUAAUACUUUGCAGUGGUUGAGUGAUAUGCAGUUUGACAAUAUUGAUUUUGAAGUUGACUCUAAUAUCACUCUUGACGCUUUUCAUUCUACUUGUGACAACAUUUCUGAAUUCAGGUGCAUCAUUGCAUCUUGUCGUUCACUAUUCAACUCUUAUUUUACCAACUCUAGGGUGGAAUUUGCUAUGAGACAAGCAAAUGUGGCUACUCAUACGCUUGUAGGGGAGGCCACGUUUCUUGUUUUUCCCACUGUUUAUUUCUGCGGUUGCUCAUGCACUUGCAGGGGAGGCCACAUUCCUUGCUAGUCUCGCUGUUUAUUUUAAUAUACCCAGUUGUAUUGAAACUAUUAUUAUAAAUGAAAUUCUAUAAGCAUAUUUCUCUCAUACACUCCCUCCGUCCCAAAUUGUUAGCAAAAAUAUAAAUUAAAUCACACUUAUUAACAAAACAGAAACAUAAGAAUUUGGAGUAUUGUUUUUUUGAAUAAGUUUCGUGAGAAGAUGUAAAAACAAUUUUUAUUGGUUAUUGAUUAUAUAGAAAAUGGAAGAGAUGGAAAAUUGAAUGUAAUUUGCAUUUAAUUUCAUGAGAAUAUGUAAAAGUUUUUCUUAAAAACGAAGGUUUAAAAAAAAUUAAAUAGGAUAAAAGAUUGUCUUUUUUGCUGACAUUUUGGGACAGAUAGUGAAUUCUUUUUUGAUUUAUUUUGGGACGGAUUGAGUAUAUACAUAUAUGACCUUUGAAAUAGUUAUGAUUAAAUUAGUUUUAAUUAUUACUAAUACUAGUGUUUUCAAAAAACAAAUAUUACUUCUUUAAAAAAAACAAAUAUUAUUAAUACUAGUUAAUUUUAUAUAUUAUGUGAUAAGCCAUAAAUAAUGGUCAAAGAUGCUUUGAAUUUUUUAAUUGUAUUUAAAUUGUUUAAAUUUUUUAAUUUAAAGGAAUAUUUUUUCGGUAGAUAAUUUAAACUUUAAAGCCAUAUUUCUCCGUCCCUCUAUAUUUUUUGGUUCUUAAAGAUAAUCUUAUUUGAGAACUAAGGCAUGUUUGGAUAAGACUUAUUUUAAACUUAUGCAAAUAAAUGAACAUUUUUAUAUCAUUUCUAAGACUAUCAAUGUAGUUUAUAAAAAUACAAUUUUUGUUAGUGAAAACUUAUAAAUUAACAUAAAAUUUUAAUUAUUUACAUAAGUUAUUUUACAUAAGCUUAAAAUAAUCCUUAUCCAAGUGAGUCCUAACUAUAGAUUUCUCUUGUUGUGGAAAUAUGAAUCUUUAGUUGCCAUAUUAUGAGAUAAUAUGAGAGUCUGACUAGUUCUGCUAGACUUAAUCCAUGUUUCCCUUGAUAUAUCUUUUGUGGAUCUGAUCUCAUAUACAUCAUAAAUUGAAAUAUAAUUUAGUUCAAAUUUACAUAAAUAUUCAAUCAUAUUUUAUAUUUAUCAAAGUUAAAUAAAACUUGACUAAUAAUAAACAACUUAUUAAAAAAAUAAUUUACAUAAUAUGUAAAAAAGAUAGGAUACAAGAGAAACAUAGCACCUUUUGUAAAAAAAAAAAAAAAAAAAAAAAAAGAGAGAAACAUAGCACCAGAGGUACCCAAAGAAUAUAUAUAUAUAGGGUUUGCUAGAACACACCCACUAGUUUUUAUGUGGGAGUGUUUUAGCAAAGCUACACCUUAAGGUGUAUUUAACUACUUUUUAGUUAUUCACUUGUUAAAAUACUCCUUCUAAAAAAUAAGUGGGUGUAUUCUAGCAAAUGCCUACAGGAUUUGCUAGAACACACCCACUUGUUUUUUUAGAAGGUGUAUUAUAGCAACAUACACCUUAAAGUGUAUUUAUUAACUUUUUAGUUAUAACUUGCUAAAACACUCCCAUAUAAAAACUAGUGGGUGUGUUCUAGCAAAUCCCAUAUAUAUAUAUAUAUAUAUAUAUAUAUAUAUAUAUAUAUAUAUAUAUAUAAUUUACACUUUUCGUCCAUCAAAAAAAAAAAAUCAUUUACACUUUUCAAACUAUCAUUUAAUUUGCGUCAACGAAAAACUUUCUUCUUUUUUUUUUUUUUUAAUGUUUUUGACUAAAAGGUAUAUAAAAACUUUCUUUUAUAUUUUUCUUAAAGCUUUUUGACUCAAUUAUAUUUUAUGUUUCUUUUGCAUUUUUACAAUGUAGAAAAAAAAUCUUAUAUUUCAAUGCGAGGUCUUUUCAUCUCUAUAUAUUUAAGCGGAAAAUUAGUCUUCACUAAUUAGUCUUUCGUCUAUCUGUGUCUAAGUGUGAUAGAGAGAAAAUACAUUUGUCUAGGUAUGUCUUGAGGGAAUAAAUUGAACAAUUUUGUUUUAUGGUUAUCAUUUUCAGUUGUAUCAUUUUUGUUUUUUCUUUCUUAGAUCUAAUAUUUGUACUAGAUGUAUUAUUGUUGGACCUCAUAUCACAUGGUUGUCUAAUUUUGUUCUUUGAAAAUGUUAUCAACGUAGUUGAGGUGUGUGUGCAUGUGCGUGUGCGGGGGUGUGUAUGUUGUCUUUAUAAAGUACAUUUAUAUCGACUGUGUUCAAAUAUAAUUGAUCUAUUGUUUGAUAUUUAAUAUAUUGGUGAGGUCAUUCAUGAUAUAUUCUCAAUUAGAUUGUUUAAUUUCAUAAAAUCAUUAUGUGAAACAUUUAAUGUUUUCUUAAUAACUCAUGCAGAAAACGUGAAACAUGAAGACAAAUAAUUCGGCUAACACUUAUUCGAAUGAUGGCCUGUUUUAUGAGAUUUUGGUAAGAAUCUUUACAACCCUUAGUGUUGUAGACCUUGCAGUAGCUUCCAUGGUUUGUAAAUCAUGGAACUUGGCGAGUCGUGCUCCUCAACUUUGGAGCAAACUUGAUAUAAGUACAUUGAACUCAAGAGGUUUGAAUGUACCAUUGAGACCAUAUGCUUGGAGGGAUGAUCAUUCAAGCCAAAAAAUGACUCAAUUUUUGAAGUAUGCUUCAAGUUUGAGUGGCGGAAAUAUAAGUUGUAUAAUAUUCAAUUGUUAUGUCUACUUGAGAGAUGUACAUUUAAUCUCGAUUGCUGAAAGGUAACAUUGUUAACUUAUUCUUGUGUUUUUUAUGGCUGUGGCUGAGUAAUGUGCUUGAAAAACAUUUUACUUUAUUGUUGUAAGGGUUGAAAUAUCUCUUAUGCUUUUCUUAAUAUAUGUUAAUUAAUUCUUAAAAAAAAUAUUGAGCUUUGUAUACAUUAAUAGCUAUAUACUACCUCCGUCCCUAAUUAUAAGACCCUUUUGAAAAGAAAAAAAAAUUGUCCCUUUUUAUAAGACCCCUUUGAUAUUUUCAAGUAUAUUAAUUAUUUCUUUACCAACCUACCCUUAUUUAUUUUACAUCUUUUUCCUCAAUCAACAAUAAGUAUUAUGUUGAAAACAUAAAUUAACUCUCUCUCUUAAGGAUAAAAUUGUAAAAACAAUAGUAAUUAUAUACAAAUUUAAUACUACAAUCCACUUUCUUAAUCUCCGCAAUUUUUGCAAAAGGCUCCUAUAUUUAGGGACGGAGGUAGUAUGUGCUAAUGUAAUACUCCCUCCGUUUCAAAAUACAUGUCCAUUUUGGAGAAAUUGCACUAACCAAGAAACCAAAUAAAUUUUGUUAUUUUUGAUGAAAAUAUGUAUGUGUUUUCUAUAAUACCCUUAAUCAUUUAUUAUUUCAUUUUAUUUUUUUCUCUCUCUACAAUAAAUAUGCAAGGGUAUUAUUGACAACACAAUAAUUAAUGUUGCAUUGAAACUUGAAAGUGACAAGUAUUGUGAAACAAAAUUAUUCUCUAAAAUGGACAAGUAUUAUGAAACGGAGGGAGUAUAUGAUUGAAAUUAAAUGUAUGUUUUCUUGAACUUACCCACACUUUGAUAGAUUUGCUUCCUUAGCCUGUAUAUUUUCUACUUUGAUAGUCUGAAUUAGAAGCCAAACAUUAGAUUAAAAAGUGAAUGUUGAGAGGAUCCAUAUAUCUAUUAGCCUUUAAGAUUUUGGAUGAAAAUGUGGUGUUCAAUCCACUUGUGUGAUUUCCUAAAACCUAAAGCAUGAUAUCCCGAGUUUCCUAGUCCAACAUUAUUUCCAUCUAUCUCUCUCUCUUUGAUACUUCAAAGUAUAAAAUAUAGUUUUUGUCAAAAUUACAAUAAUACAUUGUGAUUUUGAAAAACUAAUCAUCGAUCUAAAUUUAUUCCAGACCUUCUAAACCAAAACUACUUGUUUUAUAUGAUGUUAAAGUAUAUGUGUUCUUUAAUGUGCAGGACUCCAAAUCUCAAAAGGUUAGUUUUUCCCGUAUCUGGCGACAUAUCAAAAAAUGGAAUAGAAACUGCAAUGAGAUCAUGGAGAGGCCUUGAGUCCAUUACAAUUACCUCAGUGGUUCAUCAUAUUAACUUUUUUGACGCGGUUAGAAAAUACUGCAUGGACAUCAUUAGCUUAAAGAUCACAUGUCGUUUUGAACAAUAUGAAGCUAGGGCAUUGGUUAACUACACUCCAAAUUUAAAGGUUUUGAGUAUUCGAAACAUGACAGUUAACAUGGGAGGUUUAUGUCAUGUACUUAAUAACUUGGAACAUUUGGAGGUGGUAAAUUUAAGCCAUAGUCUUAUUGUGGAUAAAUUGGAUGAUGAACUUCAACAAUACUCGGUUGAUGAUGUGCAAAGUCGUGUCAAUAACUCAUGCAAGCUUAUCACUUGUCAAAUUAGAACAUGCCUUUGGUGCAAGACUCCAUUUGCGAGAAAUCCAAGAAGAAUGCCACAUGGGACCUUGGAAGAUAUUUGGCGUGAUGAUGAGAUAAGGUCUCUUUCGCAUUAGUUAGUCCUAGAAAAAUGGGUUAAAGAAUGCAUUGAUCUUAUUAUAAACAUUUGCUCAUUUUGAUUUAGAAUCAUGUUUGGAGACAUUUUAUUGUUUGCAUUGUCUGAUUUAGAAUCAUGUUUUGGAGACAUUUUGAUUUAGAAUCAUGUUUGGAUGCAUGCAUGGAUAUUAUAGUUAUUGAAAAAUAAAACAGUCUUUUAUCGUAUCGAAGUAGAUUAUAAUCAUGUUGAGCUCCGUGUUGAAAUAUUAUCAUGGUGAUGGUUUAAUGGAGAGAGCUGAAAAUAUGGUCUUAAAUUUUGAAAUUAAAGCAGUAAUCAAAUGAUUAGUUUCUAAACAAUUUAAAUAAUGAGAGAAUUAUAUGACAGAGUUGGACUGCGUCAUACUCUAUUGUAAAACAAACAGGGCAUCUUCCAUGUUACAAAUGACAAGAUUAAAAAAAAAAAUGAAAUUUAAUUUCAUUUGAAAACAAACAAUUUGAGAGCUUCACAUAAAGAAAAAUUCCUUAGAAUUCAUAUUGGUUAGAAUGAUUGAAGAUAAAAAGAGAUACUGGGGAAACAAAAAACUAAUUACAAAUUAUCAAACUAAUUAUUUACUAACUUCUUAUUAAUCCCCCUCGGAAAAACACUUCUUAUUAAUAACCACAAUAACUAAUUCAUAAGGGAGCUGUAAUUAAUUGUUAAGAAAAUAAAAAAUAAAUCACUAAUCAAUCAAUAUUUUUAUUAACUCUAAAUAAUGUUUCACCAUUCAACAACAUAAUUCACUACUUAAAAAAAAUGACAAAAAGUAAAAAAAAAAAAAAAAAAAAAAAAACUCUCCAAUUUCCUCAUCACAAAAUUUAGUGAUGAAUUAGGGAGGGACUUCAGCUUUUCUUUUUGCUAUUUCUUUUAGUUUAUUUUGUUGGUGGAUUUUUUUUUUUGUUUGUUGGAGAAACUUAAACUAUUUUGAGAUUAUGUUGAAUUUAAUUGAACCUUGACUAUUUUGAUUUUAUUAAUUAUUGUAGGACUAAUAUUUUCAUUAAUUUUAUUGUUAUUGUGUUGGGUGCAUGUAUGUCGUUUCCAACUUUAUCUCACCCAAUUAAGGAGUAAUCACCAAUUUUCUUGAAAUUUUAGGGGUCAAUCAUUUUACCCCUGAAAUUUAUAAAUAUGCAAAAAAAAUCUAUAAUUUUGAAUGUCUUCUGAGAGAGGGGGGUGUGGGGUGGGGGCAAAGAGAAACUGAGUUGAACUAUAAGCAUACUUGCCAUACAAGAGCAUCCACAAUGGAGGAGGCUUAAAUAUUUAAGACAUGGUACCUAAUACGAAAAAAAUUGAGGAUUUUAAAAGAUGCAAGGUCUAAAUUAAGAUAUCAUUCUUAAUUGGGCCCACAUCACCUUUUUAUUAAAAUAAUAAUUAAAAAGUGUAUUAAAAGAGAUAGUCUAUUAAAUAAAUAAUAUUAAUGGGACCUAAUUAGACAUUUUGUUAGAGGGUCUCCAUUGGAGUGAUUUAGUACCUAUUAGAUACUAUUAUUUAAAAAUUAUUAAAGAAUGAUGUGUCAAUAUGAGACUCAUUUAAGACCUCAAAGAAGAAAGUCUCCAUUGUGGAUAACGUAUACAAUACCCCCAUUAACUUAAAACUAAAUAGAAGAACCAUGUUGUCCGGCUUCAUUUAAUAUCAUACUGUUUUUUUUAAAGGCCAAAAAGGAAACAUAUAUUAAGAAACCUCCCAUCCUUGCACGAGGAGUGCCCAUAAGGGAUAAAAGAGAAUUAAAUUCCAAGAAAUCAAAGAAACGAGCAAAUAGCUAAAAACAAAUUAUAAAGUGACUAAACCAAAACAUUGUAAGGGAUUCAGCCACCAUGCUUUGAAAAGUCGACAAAAUUAAUUGGAUUGUGUCUUCAACCACCAACAGGAAUGAAGUUUUACACGUCUAAUUAACUGCUUAGACGAAAUAAUUUUAUUACUGAAAAUGUGGGCAUUACACUUUUUUCCACAAGGUCCAAAUGGAAGUCAUCCAAGUUACCUAAAAACAAGGGAGAAUCUCCUUUCCAAAUAAGUGAGUUCCACAGGUCGAUGUCAGCAUGACUAACAAAAGUAAGUCCCACCCACUGGAAAACCAGGUUCCAUAUACAACCAAAGUAGUCACGAUGAAGAAGAAUAUGAUUAAUUGUUUCUUCCAAAAUGCACCACUAUAGAACAAAGUAAAGACCUUGAAUGCAUCAUGCCGCGAUGAAAUGGAUUAUCCUCAGUAGGAAUUCUUUUAUUGAAAUUUUUUCAAGAAAAUACUGGCACAUUCAGGGGGUACUGAUAAGUGUCAGAAAGUAGUUAAUUACAUUUAGACACAUUUGUUACUUGUUUUACAAGUUAUCUACGGAAAAGCCAAGAAAAUGUGAACAAAUGCCAUAUUAUGCUUUUUGUACCUUACUUUACCCAUUUAUGCAGGAAUUGGAUGCCAAGACACCGAGCAAGAAAGAAAACAACAAAUUUGUACAAAGGUUAGCUCGCCACAACAAAAGUAAGUCCCACCCACUGGAAAACCAAGUUCCAUAUACAACCAAAGUAGUCACGAUGAAGAAGAAUAUGAUUAAUUGUUUCUUCCAAAAUGCACCACUAUAGAACAAAGUAAGGACCUUGAAGGCAUCAUGCCGCAAUGAAAUAGAUUAUCCUCAGUAGGAAUUCUUUUAUUGAAAAAAUUUCAAGAAAAUAGUGGCACAUUCAGGUGGUGCUGAUAAGUGUCAGAAAGUAGUUAAUUACAUUUAGACACUUUUGUUACUUGUUUACAAGUUAUCUACGGAAAAGCCAAGAAAAUGUGAACAAUUCCCCUAUUAUGUUUUUUGUACCUUACUUUACCCAUUUAUGCAGGAAUUGGAUGCCAAGACACCGAGCAAGAAAGAAAACAACAAAUUUGUACAAAGGUUAGCUCGCCACAACGAGCCAAGGGCGAGUAGAGGCAGAAACCACACAAAAUUCACAAGUCCAAGUUGGCCACAGCGAGGAAGUCAUUGACUUUAAAACUGAAAAUAUAAGACCAUUUCAAGAAGAAUAACUCAGGUCAAUCAUUCAAUAUCAUCUGACACAAUUAUGAGAGAAAAGAGAGAGCAAAAAAGAAAAAGAAAAAAAAAACAAGUUUAUUGGAUGAAAUAUUUAGAAAAACCAGAAACUUAGGAUUUAGAACUUUAUCUCAUAUCCUUUCAGUUGAGAGUGAUUAGGUCAUGAUGUAAAUCAUUCAAGUUAUCAUUGAAAACUUGAAUUGAUAUGGGAUUAUUUUGAAAUAUCUUCUUGAUAAGACAUAUAUCCUUAGGCCAGUCUUUGUAUAAUGUAUGAUAGAAACUCAUUCUUUGUAUAAUUUAUGAUAGAAACUCAUUCUUGUAAUUUCAAACAUGCUAACACAUCAUUGAAAAAAUGAACACCUCAAAGGACCAGUUAGGUCAGAGCUUUGAGAAGACGGAGACGAAACUUAAGUCAAGUUAAGAGCUUUGCAGGAUGCUCUUUGAGUUUGUUGUAAUUAGAAUUGUUGAGUAGCAAAGGACUUGAUUAAGUGAGAUCUUUGUGGUUGAAAUCUAGAUACAAUUUGUGGGACAAGAGAUACCGUGAUCAUAAGUGGACUAUUGUGGAUUAAGUCUUUGUUGAGGAGAAUGCAAAAUUACUCUGUUAGGAAUGGACUAAACUAGCUAUUGGCGGGGGGGGGGGGGGNNNNNNNNNNGGGGGGGGGGGGGGGGGGUGGGUGAGUGGGGCAUCCAUAUAAUCUCCAAUUAAACAUACCAUCUCACACUAUCAUUCUCUCUCUCCUUCCUCCUAUCUUCUACGACAACAAAGCCACCUUUUCUUCAUGACCAGAUCUGCCGUCCACCGAUGAACCCACCUCCGUCGCCUGUGGCCACCGCCCACCAUGUUGUGUGACCUUUUUUACCCUCUCACCAAAUCCACUCUCGUUUUCUAUUUGUAUUUUUCUAUUUCAACCAUAUCAUUUUUCUUAAUCCAUUUAAAUCUCACUAUCAUGUUUUUUAGUUUUUGUUUCUAUUGUUAGUUAUCACAAUCGCAUGCCAUUGAAUUGUUGAAGAACGAGGAAGGGGGGAACGUUUUUCUCAAUCAUGAGGAAAUAGAAAGGUGGGAAAGGGGGGAGAGAGAGAGAGUGGGUGUAUUUAAUUGGUGUUUAUAUCACACAGCCUUUGAUUUUUGAUCUAAUGACGAAUAACUAUUCCUACUAUUCUCACAUAUAAAAAACAUUCUCACUUGAUAUGCCCCCUAUUGGUGGAUAAUGAACCUGUAUAAACAUACCAUGCCACUUUCUUUCUCUUAUUCUCUUUGCUUAAUUUUGCAUAAGUUCUUUUUGGGUUAAGUUCACCUUUUAUCUAAACGUCUCAACCUCAAUCAAAUGGUUUGACGAAUAACUUCCUUUUGAGUUACAAUUAAUUUAUGGGAAAUUCAUCUUUGUAUUUAAAAUUAUCAACAUGAUUCAAUCCCUUAUUUCUCUUGUUUUAUAGCACAUUCAAGUUAUGAUGUCCAUAUUGAUCCAAUUAAUCAACAAAGCACUCAUAGUUAAUCUUUUGAUCCACACGAGUUUUGAUGUUUGGCUUGAUAUCAUGCAAACUUUUCUUUGUCAUGGAUGUUAAUACUUUUAUGUAUUUGUUAUAGAUUUUUUGAGAAUAUUUCCUUUAUUAAGUUGUGAACUUUGAUUAUGUACGAAUUUUCCUUUAUUUAGUAAAGGUUCAAUCGUACGUUCAACCUUUUGAGCGAACCGAACUUUGAUAUUGAGAUUUCACUGAUUUGACCUUCUAUCCAAUUUUUAAAAUAUUGGAGUCAAAUAGUUUGCAUCCAUUAAACUCUUGGAAAAGGUUGUACAAAUAAAAUAUAGAAAGUAAAAAUUAUUCCUUUUAUUUUUUAUACUUUAUAAAUUUCUCAUAAAAAAAAAUUAUUUUAUAAAAUAAAAGAAAGCAAAAGGGGUAUCAUAUGAAGAGUCCAAAGUAUAUAAAAUUAAAUACUAAGUUUACAAUUUGCAAAAAGAAGAGAGAGAGAGAUGAAAAUUUGGUGGUGGUGGAAGUGAUGACAAUGGACGAAAGAAGGCGUGGAGUUUGGUCUUGUCGGCGCAUAGUAGCAACCAAAGGUGAAUCCUCAAACAAUGGUUCCAAACCAAACAUCAAGAUCAACAACAAAAACAUCAUCAAGAAGCUUCAAACUCGCGAGAUUUCUCCUAAACCUCAUCGUUCCUUUGUUGCUGCUACUUCACCACAUAGAUUCCAGAACAUGCGUUUGACUCAUCAAUUUGAUACUCAUGAUCCUAAACAUCAUUCUUCUCCUUCACCCUUUUUGCCUUUUUUGAUGAAAAGAACUAAGGUUGUUGAGAUCGUUGCUGCUAAGAAUAUUGUCUUUGCUCUUGCUCAUUCUGGUCUUUGUGCUGCUUUUAGUAGAGGUAGUAUUUUACUUAAAUACUAUGUUAUGUUUUUCUUUUUGUUGCAUAAAUUGCAAAUCAUAGGUUAUUUUUAUGCAUGAAUUGUCACUACCCAUGUGUGAAUUAGUGUUAGUAGUUGUUAUAUUUGUAUAAAAACCUUGCCUUUUUGACUUGUGUGCGUGUAUGAAUCGUUAUUGAUUAAUCCCUCCGGUCCUAUAUAUAAGAAAGUUGGUUCAACAUUAGUUGAUAUCUGGAUCAAAACUUCGACCAAAUACAUCAACUUUUGUUGACCUUUGAAUUAGAUACAUCAAUUUUGUUAAUCCAUUACUUUUGUGUUGGUAAUCUUCAUAUUUGUACAAAAACUAGGACAUUUGAUUUGUUUUAUAAGUAUGAUUUGCCAUAAAUUAAUACCAUGUAUUAGACUUGGUAAGAGUCCCACUAAGGCUUGAAGUUGAACAUGGGUUUAUAAGUAGAGGCCGUUCUCACUUCUCACCUUACAAGCCAGUUUUGUAAGGUUGAGUUAGGCCGAACCCAAAAUUCUAAUAUGGUAUUACAAGCUACUUGCUAUCAGGCCACGCUCCAGGUGUCCUGUUUUGGCCUGACCCUGACGAUUGUGUGUUAAGAGUUCUACAUUGAAUGAGAUAAGGCCUGAACAUGGGUUUAUAAGUAAAGGCACUGCUCACCAUACAAACCGGUUUUUUAAGGUUGAGUUAGGUCCAACCCAAAUUUCUAAUAAGGCUAUCAGUCAUUGAAAUAUUUGUUAUAAGUCAUGAAUUUUGAUUUAAAUUUUUAGGUAUAAUAAUUUUUCGUUGUCGGAUUUGGAUUCUAUGCAGUUGUGUAGUGUGGAUAUCGAUUGUUGGAUGAAGGUCAGACAGUUCGUAUUCUUAUAUGUAUUUUAAACUCGAUUUGGUGAAGUCAAAAUACUACCAAGCCAAUUUGGUGAAGUCUGAAUACAAGCAGUUUGAUCUUCAUGAGAUUCCUUGAGUGUAUGUUUUUCUUGUCGAGAAUCCGCACCUGUUAUUGUCUAUUGUCCACAUAUUAGUCGUUGCCAUUGUUUAUAGACUAUGGUUUUUUAUUGUUGUGUAUGGAUUGCCACUGAUCAUUACCAAUGUGAGUUAUUUUCAUGUCCCCAUUCCCCAUAUUUAAUCAUUGUCUUUGCUGUGUAUAAAAGCCAUGACUUUAAUUUUUUUGAACGAAUAGCCAUUGCUUGUUACUCCUUUACACUGUCAAAUCAAAUUUGUAUGCAAAAUCUUACUAUUUUUCUUUUCUUGUGUGUGAAUUAUCAUUUAUCAUUGCCCAAUCGAUGUAGAUUUGGUUCACCACAAAAGGGUGAAAUCUCACAUUCCAAAUAAGCACUUAACCAUUGGUAUAUUUUAUAGAAGUCACGACUUUCCGGUUUUUAAUGUGCGAAUUCCAUGCAGAAACAAAUGAGAGGAUUUGCUUUUUGAAUAUCUGCCCUGACGAAGUCAUCCGCAGCCUCUUCUACAACAAGAACAAUGACUCACUUAUUACAGUGUCUGUUUAUGCUUCUGAGAAUUUCAGUUCUUUGAAGUGCAGAUCAACAAGGAUUGAGUACGUGCAUACUGUGGUUGUGCAUUCAAAUUUUCCUUUCAUGUCUACAAUGUAUCUUACUUAUAUAUUCAUUUAUUUCUGUUCCUAGAUACAUAAAGAGGGCCAAGCCGGAUGCUGGUUUUCCUCUUUUCCAGUCCGAGUCUUUAAAAUGGCCUGGAUUUGUGGAAUUUGAUGAUGUUAAUGCAAAGGUCCUAACAUACUCUGCGCAGGAUAGGUACUUUCCUUCACUCUUCCUCUUUCCAAUCCACUUCUAUCGCGCUUCUUUUCCACCCAAUAUUUUAUCUUACCCCCUUCUUUCCAAUGGUAACAGUAUAUACAAGGUCUUCGAUCUUAAAAACUACACUUUGCUAUACUCGAUUUCAGAUAGGAAUGUUCAAGAGAUCAAAAUCAGGUACUUUCUCUUUUUCCGAUUCAUUUUCUGCUUAGCAGUUUCGGUAUCUGCAGAAACUUCAUUUUGAUAAAUAAAUCAUGUCAAGUCAUGAGCAUAAGCAUCACCAUACUCUGCAUCGCCCCCUCACACACAUCACUUCGAAAAAGAAACCGUUCAAAGAAAUUUAGGUGAUGGCUUAGUAGGUCAUGGAUGAAUUUCCCACUAAUGUAGUGAAUAUUGAAAUUAUUAUUAUUUAUCUUAAAUGAUUUUGAGCAGGUUUUGUUGAAAAAGAAAACCAGUUGGAGACCAAAGACUUUGGUCAAAUAGGCUAAGGGUGGGGAUGGCUAUUUGGCGGACUUUAACUUUGGAAAAGGUUUCUUUUCUGGGAAGAAAGAUCCUUUGAAGAAAAGGAAUUACUGAUGGCUAUUUGUAGUUGGGGGUACGUAUGUAGAUAAGGAAUUAAGGUAGAAAAGUCUCGGGCUUAAUUAGAAUUUGAGAAACCUUAUGAUAUUGUCGGUUAGGGCUUGGUGAUUAGGUUUUAGAAGAAAGGGUUUACUUUUAGAUGGAGAAGUUGAAUUCCAGGAUUUAUUGUUACACCAUUUCAUAAUUAUUAAUGGAGAGCCAAAACCCUGAUUUUCAUAAUUGCAGGGGCAAAGAGAUCCUUUAUCUCAGGUUUUGGGGUUUGACGUCCGUAUUCGUUUUAUUUCUAGAGCAAUAAAAGUUAGCAAGCAGGUCCAUUAGAGCAGCCAUGAUGGACUCAGAAAAGCUGUCAGUCUCUCAUUUGCGAGUGUCGAUCUGAACUUGGACGACUUUGAUGAGAAAGUGCACUGGGUUUAUAUUUAAUAUGUUCAAAAGUAGUUGAACUUGUAUUACUUAAUGAGUUGGUAGGUCCGUUGUUGCUUUAAAUAGGAUUGAGUUUGGAUGUUGACUGUAUGGUCUAUAAGAACACUGCGACUAGCUUUGACAUUAUUCUUUGGAAUCUCAUUUCCUUUAGCAUUAGGUUAUCUGGAGUAAGAAACUGUUGACCUAAAUGGGAGGGAUGCUAAUACAGCAAGCCAAGCUUCUCAUUGAGACGAUGGAAAGUUUAUCUCACAGUUUAUACUGCUGUGAAGUCAUUGCUUUGCUAGAAAUAGGCCGUGGACCUCAUGUUAUCUUUUGGAGGACCAUUGGAGGAUUUUCCUCUUUGAUUUAGGCUUUUGCUUACCUUUUUUGCUUACCCACCUCAAGGUAUUCCCACAGCUUAGGCCCUUUGGGCUCGUUAUGAGACUAAUCCUCGAGUUGGCAGAGAGACAUUCACUGUCUCUUUUUUUAACAGGGUUGGGCUACCUCCCAAAUGGACGACUCCAGGAACCGAAUCUGGGUUUCUUUUUCUAGGGGGGAGCCAUGUUACCAACUCUCCCAAUACCUUGUUUGUGGCUUUUGCUCAACUUUAUCGUCUAUCUUAUACAAUUCUCCUAUCCUCAAUUUAUAGUGUUCAAGACUCAUCUUUUUUCAGUAAAAACAAAAGACUCGUCUUCUUUCUAGAAUUUCCAUUUCUGACUUAAAUGACAGCGAAUCUUCUAAAUUGGUGACAUGGUUGGUAUCUUGAUCCUUCUAGGCUGUCUACAUACCAAUCUUAUUCUUUUAAGUCUCAACUCAUUCAGUGAGUUUAUUAUCAUCUAAAUAAACUUAUUUCUUAGUCCAAAGCCUUGAAUGAUAGUUCUUGUGUUUAGACAUCAUUUCUCGGUAGAAUUGAUAUGAAUGAACUGCUACAUGUUUGUGAGCGUUGGGAAACACAACACUCCUGAUGUGUGUUAUGUUGGUGAUAACAUAGGAUCUUUCUAUAGUUAUUUCUUCAUGGAUUUUUUUAAAUCAAUUUUGGAGAAUCUCGAGUGUAGGUCCUUGGACCAGUUUUUUGUUAACUACCUUUACUGGUUUAAUAGAACCAAGAGGCUACGUUUUUGUGGCAAUUUGUAAUCCAUGCCACACUUGGGUGCAUUUGAUUGUGUGUAGCAUAGUGCUCUCAUCUUUAAGAAGGUUUGGUUUCUAUUUAGUGUAAAACAUAUGGUCUUUAUAAAGAGAUUUCUUUCUUCUCUCUCUGUCAUUUUUUAUUGAGUAGAAUCUCUUAUCUUCAAUUCUGUUUGGACUUCGGAAUAUUCUUCCAGCUGUUUUAAUUACUUUCUUCUUUUUUUACUUGAGCUCUUCCCAAGCGCAUGUUUAUUUAUCUAUUCAUUACUUCGUUUUUGUUACAGUCCUGGCAUCAUGUUAUUAAUAUUCAAUAGAGCAAGUGGUCAUAUUCCACUGAAAAUUAUAUCCAUUGAGGAUGGCACAGUUCUCAAAGCAUUCAAUCAUCUACUCCAUCGGAAUAAGAAGGUGGACUUCAUAGAGCAAUUCAAUGAAAAGCUUCUAGUCAAGCAGGAAAAUGAGAACCUUCAAAUUCUUGAUGUGAGACUUCAUUUUACCGUUUCUUUCAAAAUUAGUUUUGUAUCUGUGUAAUUUUGUUUGUCUUUUCUUUUAGACAAGUGCUAAUCACUUCCUUAAGAGCAUUGGUUAAGGAAAUCUAAAAUGGAAUGUUGUUGUUAAAAAGUGCAGUGUUUUAAGUUACCAAUAAUAUUAAAUAUUGUACAUUUCAAUUGAUAAUUUUCAUUUCUUGACUAACCGGUACGUUAGAGGCUAUGUUUUGGAUUGGUGGAAUGAGAUAGAAUGCUAGAGAAUGGAAUGGGGUGGGGUUUCGUUGCUUGGAUUAUUAAAGAGAUUGAAAGAUAUGCUCUGUCAGUAAAAGCUUGUUUUACACUAACUUCCAAAAAGAAUAAGUGUAAACAAACAAAUAUGCCUUCACUUGUGUUUGUUUAUUACACAUGGAUGAAUGACUCCUUCACUGAACACCACCCUUUCAGCCUUCAUUUUAUUAAUUCUUCCUUCUUUAUACUUUCAUUCUUAAAUCCUUCUCUCCCUAAAAUAAUGGAGCUCCAUUGCUGGCCACCACCAACAACGGCGCCAUCACUGCCAACCACCAUCUCCACAGUCUAAAAAGACCUUCCCCUACCCCAACUCCAAAGGCUUACGACACCCACCCUCUCUGCCCUCACCAACACAAUCUUCUAUACACCCAAAAAAUGUAUUUUUGAUUCACCUCGAGGGGAUAAGAAGUCAUUUGUUAUAUAUUUUUUAUAUAAUUAUUAAAUUACUAAUUAUCCCUUUUUCUUAUUCAGCGUCUCUUCAAAAUGAUUUUUAAAUCUGUUUGUGCGAUAUUUCACAGGUUCGAAGUUCUGAGCUGAUGGAGGUAAGCAGAACCGAGUUCAUGACUCCUUCAGCAUUUAUCUUUCUGUACGAAAAUCAGUUAUUCCUUACUUUCAGAAAUCGAACAGUUUCUGUCUGGAACUUUCGUGGCGAACUUGUCACAUCAUUUGAGGAUCACUUGUUAUGGCAUCCAGACUGCAACACAAACAACAUAUACAUAACAAGUGAUCAGGACCUGAUUAUAUCGUACUGCAAAGCUGAAUCUGAAGAUCAAUGGAUGGAAGCCAAUGGUGAUUAUCUCUAAGAUUAGUUAUUCUUUGAUUUCUGAAUGCAGUUAUCAUAAACAAUUUUUAUUGUUUUGAAGAAAUCAUAAACAUAUUUUAAUUUAUGAAAUUGAUUUAACAUCAUAAUUUUCUUGUUGCCACAGCCGGUUCCAUCAAUGUGAGCAACAUCUUGACAGGGAAAUGUGUGGCGAAAAUUAAUGCUGCAAAUUGCAUCUCCAAGGUGGACGAUUGCAGUAGUACUUGCAGCUGCAAACACACGGAUUCAUCUCAAUUAAGGAGCUCGGUUGCAGAGGCUUUGGAAGACAUAACUGCCCUCUUUUAUGAUGAAGACCGGAACGAGAUCUAUACUGGUAAUAGACAUGGUUUUGUUCAUGUAUGGUCCAACUAAUAGAGAAAAAAAAAUGGCUUUCGUGUUUCUUCACUGGCUUCGUGAACGAAGGAAAAGAAUCCUCAUGCUUGGGUUUGUACUUUUGCUGAUGUGUAAUUACUGCAGUGGAUGAUUCUACUGCCAAAACUGCCUCAGGACCGGGUCUGGAUCCUCUCCUUCCACCCUCUAUGUCUCUCUCUCUCUCAUUGAUUUUUCUUGAAAGAGUGGAUAUUGACUCGGGAUUGUAGGCGUUAUUUGACAUGUGAUUAUACAACUGCAUUUGUUUAGCCAGUUAUAUAGUGAAUUGUUCAGGUAAAACUGUUAUGCAUGUGUUUCUUUCACUUUUAUACAGGUCUUAGAGAAUUUGACUUUGUAGAUAGUUUGUGUACAGUGAAGUCACUGCCAAGUAUUUUGUGUCAGAUGAGAGACAUCCAUUAUUACUUACUUCAUCCUGGAAUUCUUAGGGGACUUUGGCUGUGUUUGGUAACACAAAAAAGCUAGCUUAUAGCUUGUUGGAUUAGCUUAUAAGCUCGUUAGAAGAAAACGUGACGUGUUUGGUAACAAGCUUUUUUCAUGAGCUUAUAGCGUUUUUUGAAAAGCUAUUUCAAGUAGCUUUUUAGCUUAUAGCUGGUAGCUUUUUAUAUUUUCUUCCAACUUUAACCGUAUUAAUUUAAUUAAUUAUUUUUUUAAUUAAACAAGUACCCAUGUUCAUCUUUAUAACCGCCCCAUUUUUUCCCUUAAAUAAAAUGCCGUUUUUUUUAAGGAGCACUUUAUAUAUAUAUAUAUAUAUAUAUAUAUAUAUAUAUAUAUAUAUAUAUAUAUAUAUAUAUAAUAUUUUUUUAUGGAAAUGCUUUAUAUUUUGUUAUAACUAACCUGUCGUACAUCACACAAAAAAUAACUAGCCUAUUUUUUUUUUAAAGGAAAAAAAAACUAGUCUAUUGUACGUUGUAAAAUUUUAUAUAUUCUACCUCACAUUUUGUUUCCAUAUUUCUCUUAUUUUUGAGACUCAUUAAGCAGAGAUCAAAAUUGUUAGUGAAUUUUUUUUUAGGAUUAAAGGUCGAAGAAUUUUUUUAUGGAGACUAAGACCAAAAGUUUGAAUAUUUAUAGGGACCAAAAACAUAUUUAACUAUAAUUAAAAAUAUUAAAAAAUAAAUACAUUACAAAAAAAAAAUGUGUGCGUCUAUAUGUAUAUUAAAAAAAACAGGUCCUUUUAUGUCAUUUUAUACUUAUCAGCCACUUCAACAGCUAAUUUUACCAAACACAUUAUUUUUAAUAAGCAAACUUUUCAGCUAUAAGCUACCAGCUAUCAGCUAGCUUUUCAGCUAUCAGCUAGCUUAUAGCUUAUUUUUACCAAACAGAGCCUUUGUGGGAUAUGAUGGCAAGAGGGGAAACUACAUGGGUGUAUAUCCUUCAUUUGUAUCAUUGACUGAUAUAACUCUCACUAUGAAUGUGUUAUUCAUUUUGGUUAGGUGUAGAGAUGUUCUUGCGGUGUUGGUAAGUAUUCAUUUUUUGGGUAGUCAUACUAUUGAUGCGAAAUCUGUACUUACUUUGUCAAUGAUUAAUCUUUGUCGGAGAAUUUGGCUCACUACCUUUAGUGGAGUUUCAUGUUCCAACCAUGUUUUUUCUUUCUUUCAUGCAUUAGGCUCAAACCCAAGGUGUUGCUUAAAAGAGUUGAGUGCUUAAAAGAUUUGAGUUCAGUUUCACAAAACGUAGUAUACAAUUUUAAUUGUUAUGCUUCAAUUUCUUUUUUUAAAAUAUUUAUGGUAACUGAAAAUUGCUGCCAUUUUAGUCACAUAAUGGAUGUGCUGGAGUUUGUCACCUUGUAAUAACAAGUAUUUUACUUCCAAACUUUUCUAAUUCUCGUGUUCUAAUGUUCAG